rnacentral:rRNA from 3 species
GUCUUCGAGUCGUUGAUUUCACACUGCCGAGAAAAGCCUCUAGAUAGAAAAUAGGUGCCCGUACCGCAAACCGACACAGGUAGUCAAGAUGAGAAUUCUAAGGUGAGCGAGCGAACUCUCGUUAAGGAACUCGGCAAAAUGACCCCGUAACUUCGGGAGAAGGGGUGCUCUUUAGGGUUAACGCCCAGAAGAGCCGCAGUGAAUAGGCCCAAGCGACUGUUUAUCAAAAACACAGGUCUCUGCUAAACCGUAAGGUGAUGUAUAGGGGCUGACGCCUGCCCGGUGCUGGAAGGUUAAGAGGAGUGGUUAGCUUCUGCGAAGCUACGAAUCGAAGCCCCAGUAAACGGCGGCCGUAACUAUAACGGUCCUAAGGUAGCGAAAUUCCUUGUCGGGUAAGUUCCGACCCGCACGAAAGGCGUAACGAUUUGGGCACUGUCUCAACGAGAGACUCGGUGAAAUCAUAGUACCUGUGAAGAUGCAGGUUACCCGCGACAGGACGGAAAGACCCCGUGGAGCUUUACUGUAGCCUGAUAUUGAAAUUCGGCACAGCUUGUACAGGAUAGGUAGGAGCCUUUGAAACGUGAGCGCUAGCUUACGUGGAGGCGCUGGUGGGAUACUACCCUAGCUGUGUUGGCUUUCUAACCCGCACCACUUAUCGUGGUGGGAGACAGUGUCAGGCGGGCAGUUUGACUGGGGCGGUCGCCUCCUAAAAGGUAACGGAGGCGCUCAAAGGUUCCCUCAGAAUGGUUGGAAAUCAUUCAUAGAGUGUAAAGGCAUAAGGGAGCUUGACUGCGAGACCUACAAGUCGAGCAGGGUCGAAAGACGGACUUAGUGAUCCGGUGGUUCCGCAUGGAAGGGCCAUCGCUCAACGGAUAAAAGCUACCCCGGGGAUAACAGGCUUAUCUCCCCCAAGAGUUCACAUCGACGGGGAGGUUUGGCACCUCGAUGUCGGCUCAUCGCAUCCUGGGGCUGUAGUCGGUCCCAAGGGUUGGGCUGUUCGCCCAUUAAAGCGGUACGCGAGCUGGGUUCAGAACGUCGUGAGACAGUUCGGUCCCUAUCCGUCGUGGGCGUAGGAAAUUUGAGAGGAGCUGUCCUUAGUACGAGAGGACCGGGAUGGACAUACCUCUGGUGUACCAGUUGUCGUGCCAACGGCAUAGCUGGGUAGCUAUGUGUGGACGGGAUAAGUGCUGAAAGCAUCUAAGCAUGAAGCCCCCCUCAAGAUGAGAUUUCCCAACUUCGGUUAUAAGAUCCCUCAAAGAUGAUGAGGUUAAUAGGUUCGAGGUGGAAGCAUGGUGACAUGUGGAGCUGACGAAUACUAAUCGAUCGAAGACUUAAUCAAAA